GACUGAUAGCUCAGUUGGUAGAGCAUGAGACUCUUAAUCUCACGGUUUUGUGGGUUCAAGCCCCACAAAGGUUUGGGCCA